rnacentral:rRNA from 1 species
GAUGAACGCUGACAGAAUGCUUAACACAUGCAAGUCAACUUGAACUUCGGCUGGGUGGCGGACGGGUGAGUAACGCGUAAAGAACUUGCCUCACAGAUAGGGACAACAUUUGGAAACGAAUGCUAAUACCUGAUAUUAUGAUUUUAGGGCAUCCUAGAAUUAUGAAAGCUAUAUGCGCUGUGAGAGAGCUUUGCGUCCCAUUAGCUAGUUGGAGAGGUAACGGCUCACCAAGGCGAUGAUGGGUAGCCGGCCUGAGAGGGUGAUCGGCCACAAGGGGACUGAGACACGGCCCUUACUCCUACGGGAGGCAGCAGUGGGGAAUAUUGGACAAUGGACCAAGAGUCUGAUCCAGCAAUUCUGUGUGCACGAUGAAGUUUUUCGGAAUGUAAAGUGCUUUCAGUUGGGAAGAAAAAAAUGACGGUACCAACAGAAGAAGUGACGGCUAAAUACGUGCCAGCAGCCGCGGUAAUACGUAUGUCACAAGCGUUAUCCGGAUUUAUUGGGCGUAAAGCGCGGCUAGGUGGUUAUGUAAGUCUGAUGUGAAAAUGCAGGGCUCAACUCUGUAUUGCGUUGGGAAACUGUGUAACUAGAGUACUGGAGAGGUAAGCGGAACUACAAGUGGUAGAGGUGAAAUUCGUAGAUAUUUGUAGGAAUGCCCGAUGCGGGCAGCCAGCUUACUGGACAGAUACUGACGCUGAAGCGCGAAAGCGUGGGUAGCAAACAGGA